UACGAAGGGGGCUAGCGUUGCUCGGAAUCACUGGGCGUAAAGCGCACGUAGGCGGAUUGCUAAGUCAGGGGUGAAAUCCUGGAGCUCAACUCCAGAACUGCCUUUGAUACUGGCGACCUUGAGUCCGGGAGAGGUGAGUGGAACUGCGAGUGUAGAGGUGAAAUUCGUAGAUAUUCGCAAGAACACCAGUGGCGAAGGCGGCUCACUGGCCCGGUACUGACGCUGAGGUGCGAAAGCCAGGGGAGCAAAGCGGG
rnacentral:rRNA from 1 species